AGAAAAAGCCAGCGUCCAGUUUUUACAUUUACAUAAGAGUCACGUGAGCUCGCUCAGCUGUGUUUAUAUCAACGAAAUGUUACAUUCACAAAGAAGCAGUCGUGUUCGUGACAUUGACUGCGGCAGGAGUGAAGAGACUUGCCGCAGAGCCGCCGCGACCACUGUACAGAGAGAUUGGAUGCUGAUGCUGUGCUACUUUGAACAAUCGGAAGGCUGAAACCGGUUCUAACAAUUAACGUAACUGUGAUUUUAAAGGUGUCGACGGUGUUUUUACGUUGUCUCUAUGAGGUUAGAGUAAUUUUUAUUAUUUUCAUAAUAAUAAAUAAGUAACGUCCUGUUGUGAAGGUAAAAUAUAAAUAUCUUUUUGCCACAUUUUUCCGUGUAAACGUAAAAUCAGAAUUUUCAGUUUCCGAUUAUAACUCAUCGAUUUGUUAAUGGAAAAAAAACGAUUUUUUAAUCAUAAAUGAGCUUAAUAAUCUUUUACAUUGGAAUUUUCACAAACAGAUCAUCAACAAAAUAUGAAUCUUGUGCUAUUAAAUAAUAACGAAAUAUUUUUAAAGAUAACUUACCUUCCAAUAAAUUAUCUUGAGAAACCAAUUAGACAUGCAGACAAAGAAACGUUUCGUAAAUUCAAGUCACGAGGAUAAAAUUUAUAUUUGAUCUCUAUAAUGAAUGAAAUGCUCUUAUAAAUUUAUCAGUUAAUUUUAUUUCUAGAAAUUGAAAAAAAGGACAUUAAAAAUAUAAUUAGAUAAGAAUGGCUAAUGAUCAAGGAAUUAACUUACCAGCACUGCAUUUUGCUAUGCAAAUUAAAGAUUUAAAAAUGACGAAAAAUAUUCUAGAUAGUAGUAAGAAAUGUCUGGACUACAGAAAUCACAUGGGUGAAUCCUUAAUUCAUAUUGCUGUUAAAAAUAGAUUCAAUGAAAUGAUUCAUUGGCUUGUUAAUGAAGGGCUUGAUGUUGACAGUCUUGAUUUUAGCAAUAGAACUGCACUUCAUUUGGCAGUUACUAUAAAACAUGAAGAUAUGGUCAGAUGCCUCUUAGACUGCAAUGCAAGUAAUAAUGCAAAAGAUCUUUAUGGCAAAAGUCCUUUCCAUAUGGCUGUACAAACUGGUAAUAUUUCACUGAUUAAAAUGUUUGUAAAAUUUGGGGCUAAUGUUUUAGACAUAACAUUGAGUACUCAUCAAACAGCACUUCACCUCGCUUUGAAGAAUGAAGAUGAAGAGACAUUUAUGCUUCUCUUUAAUAAUCACGUAGGAGAUAUUAACACAGCAGAUGUGUAUGGAGAAACUCUUUUACAUAUAUUAGCAAGACAAAAAUCGGAAAAUUUAGCAAUGCUUCUACUCAAGAGAGGCGCGGAUCUCAAACUGUUGAACAAAGAUAAUGAGACUGCACUUCAUUUUGCCAUUCACAGCCGAAAUUACAACAUUUCUAAGAUUUUUGUAGAAAACGGCGCAGAUGUUAAUGCUAGAAACAAGUAUGGAGAAAGCCCGUUGCAUUUGGCAAUCAGAUACAAAGAUUUGAGACUUGUUAAUUUAUUGAUUAUUAAUAACGCAAAUUUAAGUGAGCAAACAAAUGACCAGGAUACCAUGCUUCACAUUGCAAUAAAUUAUUUUCACGCAGAUAUUGUCAAUCUUCUAAUAAAGUGUGGUGUUAAUAUUCAUCUUAGGAAUUCUUGGGAUUUAGAUCCUUUUCACUUGGCAAUCAAGAAUAAGUGCUUGGAUGGAGCAAAAAUACUGUUGAACAAAGGCGCUGAUGUAAAUUCUGUGGCAUUUGGAAAGUUCAUUGGCAACCACCCAAAAGGAAAUGAUGAGGAUCAAACCUUUACUCCACUUCACACUGCUAUUGUACAAAAAGACAUAGCUGCAGCUAAAUUACUCUUAGAAAAUGGAGCAAAACUUGACUUCAGUAAUAACUAUGAGAUCUUUUUAGCAGUUGAAUCAGGAUGUCUAGAAAUUGUUGAGCAGUUGAUAAAACAUGGUGCAAAUGUGAAUGCUGUGAAUGUCACCGGAGAAUCACUUCUUUACACAGCUAUGAAAAUUCGGAACAAAGAAGAGGUGCAAACACUUCUUCAUUUUGGAGCAGCUACAAAGAGUAUCAAUGAAAUAGGCAAUGAAAAUGAAACUGCACUUCACUUGGCAGUAAAAGCUAAAGAUGAAAAGUUUGUUCAGUUUCUCCUGGAUAUUGGUAUUGAUGUCAAUAUUUGCAAUGCAGAAGAUCUCACAGCUUUGUUUUAUGCUCGUGAUGGCACAAACAUAUCAAAUCUUUUAAUAGCAAAUAUAGCUCUGCUGAAGAUUAACAACUUUUUUGUCAGCCAAAGAAAUGAGAUUAUUAUAGAUGCCCUGGAAGAAUUUAAAUCACAUUUCUUGGUGUGUUUGAACGAGCUACUGAGCAUCAAGGAAGAGACAUGCUGCAAUACUUCACUCAUGAACUUUUUGGUCAAAGAUAUAUUUGCUUUGGCAAAAUUAGCUAGACACAAACAAGUGGUUGACAAGUUUAAGGCAAUUACAAAUGCAAAGAAUUAUCCCAUAUAUUUCAAGAAACUAGAAGAAAAUAUAGAAAAAGCUGCUGAUAGAUGGGAGUUGAUAAGACAAGUAAAGGAUCUUCUGUGUAAAUUGAAAUACUUUCAAUUACUAUACGAUGUGCUAGAUAACAUAGUAGAAAAUUUUUCAAAUGACGAAUUGAGCAAUUUUAUAGCUGCUAGUAAUACUGAAACGACGAUUUAAUGAGCCAUCAAAUGAAUGGCAGUAGAAUUAAUAAUGCUUUUAAUUUAUCUGUAAACUCAUGCUUUUAUUCAUCUAAUAUUAGAAAUAAAUAUCGCGUUCGAAGUGACGGCAAAAUUGAAUCUAGUCAUGAGAACAAAAGCAUAUUAUCAGUCAAGUGAAAAUCGCCGAAGUUCAGACGCGUAUCGUCGACAUGUCUCCAUGUCGGCAUUUCGGCAUGUGAAAUAACAAACAUUUUUCUAAAAUAAAUAAAAAAUUAAUCAUGUAUCUCGUAAUAUUAUGAAAAGUAAAAUAUUCUGCGUUAAAUUUUUCGUACAACGGGUACGAACGAAAUUUUCUGGUUGUCGCGACGUGACCAUAAAAUAAAAUCAAAGUACGUUAGAUAAGCAGCGUCAAAAUGUUCAAGUCCCUGGAGGCGGGCCUUUCCAAGAUCUGCAGCCUGAAUAAGGCUUUCAAUCUUUGUGGCCGGAGAUACUUGCGCGAACCCUUUCAGCCGCUCAAAAGGUGUCCGCGAUGGGUUUGUGUCGAAGACGCCGUGAAAGUCAUAAAUUCCGAGCAAUUGGUGUUUAUUCAAGGGGGAGCAGCUACUCCCAUGGAGUUAGUGCGAGCUAUGACAGAACAUGGUGUCUGUACUAAUCUUCGAGG